GAUGAACGCUAGCUACAGGCUUAACACAUGCAAGUCGAGGGGAAACGAUAGAGAAAGCUUGCUUUUUCUAGGCGUCGACCGGCGCACGGGUGAGUAACGCGUAUCCAACCUGCCCAUCACUUGGGGAUAACCUUGCGAAAGUAAGACUAAUACCCAAUGACGUCUCUAGAAGACAUCUGAAAGGGAUUAAAGAUUUAUCGGUGAUGGAUGGGGAUGCGUCUGAUUAGCUUGUUGGCGGGGUAACGGCCCACCAAGGCGACGAUCAGUAGGGGUUCUGAGAGGAAGGUCCCCCACAUUGGAACUGAGACACGGUCCAAACUCCUACGGGAGGCAGCAGUGAGGAAUAUUGGUCAAUGGACGAGAGUCUGAACCAGCCAAGUAGCGUGCAGGAUGACGGCCCUAUGGGUUGUAAACUGCUUUUAUAAGGGAAUAAAGUGAGAGUCGUGACUCUUUUUGCAAGUACCUUAUGAAUAAGGACCGGCAAAUUCCGUGCCAGCCGCCGCGGUAA
rnacentral:rRNA from 1 species